UACAGUUAGUAAAAUUAUAACUUUUUUUGUUGGUAUUAAAAAGUUUGUUUAAACUACCAAUCAUUUGUCAUUUGUUGUAGAAGGUAAUAUGGGUCCAAAAAAUAAUUUGUGUGUAUUUCGUGGGAAAUUCAAAGAGUAUAUAGUUGCUAACUUCACAUUAUCAUCUGAAACAAAUAAUCAGUGCAUGUUUAGUUUCUUUUGCCAAAAAAAAAAAAUGGAUGUUCUUUUAAAACAUUUAUCUGGUGUCUUGAAAGGCAAUCUUUCAGAUGAAGUCAUGCAUAGAAUUCGUGAUUCAUUUGUUUUGCUUAAUGAAGAAGAUCUUCGUGAGCUAGGUUUAAAGAUGGGUGAGCGAAAGCUUUUGAUGUCCUGGAUAAAAUCGAGUGUAACUGCACAAUCUUCAACAGAAUGUUCUUUAACGUUGGAUCCAAUAUCAGUAUCAACACCAGCUGCAGUGAUACCACCAUUACCUGCAAGUGAUGUUGUAAUUGUAGAGCCACAGGUUUAUGCAAUCAAGGAAUUAUUAUGCAACUAUACAAAGGGAGGAUCUAAAAUAGUUGAAAAGCUGAAACAAGGCAUCUACUACACAAGAUCAGAACGUAUUUUAAUGAUUAAAGUUUUGGGAAAAUAUCUGAUGAAAAAUUGUUUAAUUUCCAAAGAAAUGACAAAUAUGGCAAAGAGUAUUGUCACAGAAUUUCCGGUUCUUUUUUGCAAAUCCACACCAAAUGGUUAUGAAGAAAUCUACUGUGAGAAGGGUGCCACAGGAUAUCUUGCACAAUAUGUGCGACAAAAGCGUCACAGAGACCCAUUUAUUAAAAAGCAUUGGGCUUGGCGAAAAAACAGAAUUCCAAUUACCAACCCUUUACCAAACAUUGAUGAUGAUAAUGAUGAUGAGCGUCGACUUCGAGAAAGUAGGCCAACGAAAGGAAACCUAUCUGAAUUAGUGCAGCUCAUGCAUAAAACUAGAGAGAAUAGACGAGCUUGGAUCAAUGUACAUACCUGCAAUCCUGAUGCUACUAGUAUUUUAAACAGAUUCCCUCGUUUAUUUGAUGUAAAUGAGUUGAUAAACAAGGAGUUUGCAGCGAUUGCAGGUGAAUUUCUUUCUUUGCGAAUUGCUUGGUUAUCUUUUCGUUAAAAGAUUCUGCUAUACUCUGAAAAAAAACUUAAAGAUAACUCUACUAUCCAGCAAAUGUCCAAAGCGUACCUAUCUGAUGAAUAUGAUGAAGACAAAAAGACUGAAUUAUCGUUCUUGCUGUUGCCGCACAUAUUAAUACCACCACCGUAACGAGGUUUAAAAGCUCCAAGAGUCGGGAGGGAUGUUGUAUCUAAUCUGAUGUUUGUAGAUAUGAAUGAGGAACAGAUGAGUGUCCCUGAAGCAGUUGCUUCUUUGCAAAAAAAUGUAUGGGCUGGUAUUGACAACCUUCCACCCUUGCUUUUUCGUCUGAAUAAGAUUUAUUAUAUCAAAUUGGAUGCUCGAGCCAUCGAAGUUCGUGAUACAACUUGUUUUUGUGAUGCGGUAGAAUUUUUGUUAAAGUGUUUUUAUGUGUUUAAUUUAUCGUAUCCACACGAAAUUAAGCCAGUUUAUGGUCUGCUCGAACAUGUUAUGCAGAUGAAUGUUUCGAUCGGAAAAAGUGCUGCUUUAUCAGACUUCUUGGGAGCAAUCGUUUAAAAGUUGCACAAAAGAACUACAAAUAAUUUUAUUUCUAAAUUAAAAUAAAACUUCAUUAAA
rnacentral:misc_RNA from 1 species